CUACUCUUGACAUCCAGAGUACUAUGGAGAGAUACAUAGGUGCCUUUGGGAACUCUGAGACAGGUGCUGCAUGGCUGUCGUCAGCUCGUGUUGUGAAAUGUUGGGUUAAGUCCCGCAACGAGCGCAACCCUUAUCCUUUGUUACCAGCGAUUUGGUCGGGAACUUAAAGGAAACUGCCGGUGAUAAACUGGAGGAAGGUGGGGAUGAUGUCAAGUCAUCAUGGCCCUUAUGGAGUGGGCUACACACGUGCUACAAUGGUGGCUACAAUGGGCUGCAAAGUCGCGAGGCUAAGCCAAUCCCUUAAAAGCCAUCUCAGUUCGGAUUGUACUCUGCAACUCGAGUGCAUGAAGUUGGAAUCGCUAGUAAUCGUGGAUCAGCACGCCACGGUGAAUA
rnacentral:rRNA from 1 species